AUUGAACGCUGGCGGCAUGCUUUACACAUGCAAGUCGAACGGUAACAGGGUGCUUGCACCGCUGACGAGUGGCGAACGGGUGAGUAAUGCGUCGGAACGUGCCGAGUAGUGGGGGAUAACGCAGCGAAAGUUGUGCUAAUACCGCAUACGUACUGAGGUAGAAAGUGGGGGACCUUCGGGCCUCACGCUAUUCGAGCGGCCGACGUCUGAUUAGCUAGUAGGUGAGGUAAGAGCUCACCUAGGCGACGAUCAGUAGCGGGUCUGAGAGGAUGAUCCGCCACACUGGGACUGAGACACGGCCCAGACUCCUACGGGAGGCAGCAGUGGGGAAUUUUGGACAAUGGGCGCAAGCCUGAUCCAGCCAUGCCGCGUGUCUGAAGAAGGCCUUCGGGUUGUAAAGGACUUUUGUCAGGGAGCAAAACUUACUGGUUAAUACCCGGUGAGGCUGAGAGUACCUGAAGAAUAAGCACCGGCUAACUACGUGCCAGCCGCCGCCGUAAGAC
rnacentral:rRNA from 1 species